UACGUAGGAGACGAGCGUUGUCCGGAAUUACUGGGCGUAAAGCGCGUGUAGGCGGAUCGGCAAGUCUGCUGUGAAAGCUCCUGGCUUAACCGGGAGUGGUCGGUGGAAACUGCCAGUCUGGAGGACGGUAGAGGUAGGUAGAAUUCCCGGUGUAGUGGUGAAAUGCGUAGAGAUCGGGAGGAAUACCUGUGGCGAAGGCGGCCUACUGGGCCGGACCUGACGCUGAGACGCGAAGGCGUGGGGAGCGAACGGG
rnacentral:rRNA from 1 species